UGGGGAAUAUUGGACAAUGGGCGAAAGCCUGAUCCAGCAAUACCAAGUGAGUGAUGAAGGCCCUAGGGUUGUAAAGCUCUUUUAGCAAGGAAGAUAAUGACGUUACUUGCAGAAAAAGCCCCGGCUAACUCCGUGCCAGCAGCCGCGGUAAGACGGAGGGGGCUAGCGUUGUUCGGAAUUACUGGGCGUAAAGAGUGCGUAGGCGGUUUAGUAAGUUGGAAGUGAAAGCCCGGGGCUUAACCUCGGAAUUGCUUUCAAAACUACUAAUCUAGAGUGUAGUAGGGGAUGAUGGAAUUCCUAGUGUAGAGGUGAAAUUCUUAGAUAUUAGGAGGAACACCGGUGGCGAAGGCGGUCAUCUGGGCUACAACUGACGCUGAUGCACGAAAGCGUGGGGAGCAAACA
rnacentral:rRNA from 1 species